UACGUAGGGUGCGAGCGUUGUCCGGAAUCACUGGGCGUAAAGCGCACGUAGGCGGAUUGCUAAGUCAGGGGUGAAAUCCUGGAGCUCAACUCCAGAACUGCCUUUGAUACUGAGAUCUUGAGUUCCGGGAGAGGUGAGUGGAACUGCGAGUGUAGAGGUGAAAUCGUAGAUAUUCGCAAGAACACCAGUGGCGAAGGCGGCUCACUGGCCCGGUACUGACGCUGAGGUGCGAAAGCGUGGGGAGCAAACGGGAUUA
rnacentral:rRNA from 1 species